CAGAGCUAGUGCACAGCCAAGGGCCAUGUUGCAUUUGCGGCCGGUUAGCAGAACGGCCGUCCCGCUGCCUUUGACAGCAGCAGCAUGUGCCUUUGGCGCCGAUUUCAAGCCACCUGGACGCAGCCGACAAAUAAUGGUUCUCCCGCCUAGCCAGUCCCGGAGGCUAUGGCCAACCUUCUACCGGAAGUCGAGCAUAGCCCGCCCUGACUCAAAAUGGAUAGGACAUGACUACUAUUGCUUCUAGUACUACUACGGUGCUAGGGACUGGGCGCCAUCUGGGGACGAGAGAACACAGUCGUGACGAUAGCUACAUAGGACGAAUGUUCCGCCACAUCCGGUACAUACGCACUAGAACCUCAUGGAUCAAAAGAAUCAACGAAAUAGACCGGAUGUACAGCAAGGGAACGACAAGACAGAAAGCCAAAAGCGAAACAGAGUGGGCAAGGAUAAUCGCCAAAGAAAUUAACAAGGUAGAAGAAGAAAGGUGGUGAACCGCAACGGGUAAAAAGAAGAGCAUGUACUUCUACAGUGGAAACAAAGGUCAGCGAGCACCAGAAACGUUCUACAGGAGCGACCACAGAAGCGGACUCCUUUUUCAAGCCCGGACUGGAUCCCUAUUAACUAGACGGCGAAUACAAGAAUUGUUCCACACUGACAGCGCGGAAUGCGCCAUCUGCAACACCGGGGAAGACAAGGACCUCCGACACAUACUAUUCUCUUGUCCGACACUGGAACAAACAAGACCGAAACCGGAACCAAUGUUCUCGCUAUUGGGCUUUGGCAGCGACUACUCGACACCGAGCAUAGAGCAGACAAAGCGCCACCUGUAAGCCUGGCAAAAAAGCGUCGAGAGAAAGUUGA